GGUAUGGAAGAUCCCAGAGUUUGUGAUGGUUCAAAUAUGAAUAAUGUUCUGUUCAAAAGUGAAUGGCUUCUUGGCUCUUUGAAGCUCUUGAUUCUCUCUGGAUUACCAAUUCUUUCUCUUCUUUUCAUGGUAAUAAUUUUUUCCCUUUAAUGAUAUAGAAUUUAGUACUUUGUCUGAAAGGGUCCAAUAUUUUUGUUGUGGGUUUUGUGUAAAUUCUUUGUAAAGACUUCAAUUUUUACUCUGUUAAUCUUUG
rnacentral:lncRNA from 1 species